rnacentral:rRNA from 1 species
UGAGCAAUCUGCCCUUGACUCUGGGAUAAGCGUUGGAAACGACGUCUAAUACCGGAUACGAGCUGUGAAGGCAUCUUCAACAGCUGGAAAGAACUUCGGUCAGGGAUGAGCUCGCGGCCUAUCAGCUAGUUGGUGAAGUAAUGGCUCACCAAGGCGUCGACGGGUAGCCGGCCUGAGAGGGCGACCGGCCACACUGGGACUGAGAUACGGCCCAGCUCCGUAGGAGG